GAAUGCCGCUGCUUACCAUGCAAGUCGAACGAUGAUGGCCGUGCUUGCACGGCUGGAUUAGUGGCGAACGGGUGAGUAACACGUGAGUAACCUGCCCCCCACUUCGGGAUAACCUCGGGAAAUCGUGGCUAAUACCGGAUAUGAGCAUCCACUGCAUGGUGGGUGUUGGAAAGUUUUUCGGUGGGGGAUGGACUCGCGGCCUAUCAGCUUGUUGGUGAGGUAAUGGCUCACCAAGGCGUUGACGGGUAGCCGGCCUGAGAGGGCGACCGGCCACACUGGGACUGAGACACGGCCCAGACUCCUACGGGAGGCAGCAGUGGGGAAUAUUGCACAAUGGGCGAAAGCCUGAUGCAGCGACGCCGCGUGAGGGAUGACGGCCUUCGGGUUGUAAACCUCUUUCAGCAGGGAAGAAGCGAGAGUGACGGUACCUGCAGAAGAAGCGCCGGCUAACUACGUGCCAGCAGCCGCGGUAAUACGUAGGGCGCAAGCGUUGUCCGGAAUUAUUGGGCGUAAAGAGCUUGUAGGUGGCUUGUCGCGUCUGCCGUGAAAACCCGAGGCUCAACCUCGGGCGUGCGGUGGGUACGGGCAGGCUAGAGUGUGGUAGGGGAGACUGGAACUCCUGGUGUAGCGGUGAAAUGCGCAGAUAUCAGGAAGAACACCGAUGGCGAAGGCAGGUCUCUGGGCCAUUACUGACACUGAGAAGCGAAAGCAUGGGGAGCGAACAGGAUUAGAUACCCUGGUAGUCCAUGCCGUAAACGUUGGGCACUAGGUGUGGGGGACAUUCCACGUUUUCCGCGCCGUAGCUAACGCAUUAAGUGCCCCGCCUGGGGAGUACGGCCGCAAGGCUAAAACUCAAAGGAAUUGACGGGGGCCCGCACAAGCGGCGGAGCAUGCGGAUUAAUUCGAUGCAACGCGAAGAACCUUACCAAGGCUUGACAUGCACCGGACAGCUGCAGAGAUGUGGCCUUCUUUGGACUGGUGCACAGGUGGUGCAUGGUUGUCGUCAGCUCGUGUCGUGAGAUGUUGGGUUAAGU
rnacentral:rRNA from 1 species